UACAGAGGGUGCAAGCGUUGUUCGGAAUCAUUGGGCGUAAAGGGCGUGUAGGCGGUUUGUUAAGUCAUGUGUGAAAUCCCUCGGCUCAACCAAGGAAGUGCAUCCGAAACUGCCGAGCUUGAGUACUUAAGAGGAUCGCGGAAUUCCCGGUGUAGAGGUGAAAUUCGUAGAUAUCGGGAGGAACACCAGUGGCGAAGGCGGCGAUCUGGGAAGAUACUGACGCUGAGGUGCGAAAGCGUGGGGAGCAAACAGG
rnacentral:rRNA from 1 species